GAGCAGCAGGCAGAGUCUAAAUACCACAAGGAAGAUGAUGUCGAAGGAUGAAGAUGCAUUUCUCCUGUGAAUGUAGACAGGAGCCUGCCCAACAGCUGUGGUUGGAGGUGGGGCUCAUCUACAGACAUUUUGGUGGGUGUAGGACCCACAUUUGCCUACUGUUCACUUUCUGAUCUUUCCUUUCAGCUGAGGACAAUGGGAAACUGGCCUUUGGCUGCAUAGAAACGGGGAGCCUAGGUUGAAGUCAGAGACCCCAACUCAUGGCCAGGAGUUUCUUUCCCUUUAUGACUUCUGCCAUCACUAGAGAGAAGUCACACCUUGGAGUCCACAGCCCUCCUCCAUCACUAUGUAGUCAUGGGGCAUGUUGUUAGGCCCUCUGAGCUUGAGUUUCCUGUUCUGUGAUCCAGAUUACAGAGGGAUCUUUGAAAUAUGGGGCCAGAUAAUAAAAGUCACGGGCUUAGCAAUUACAUCCUUGGAGGAACUAGCCUUCACGCCAAAAACAACUUGUGGGUUUGGUCCUUCAUUCAAAGAGGACUAGGAACCAGCGCCGAGUAUUUGCUUUCAUGGGGGCUUUGUUGGCCUGUUCAUUUCUCUUGCAAAAGCAUAAUUACAAUUAAUCAACUGGAGCAGAAUGUUGGCUAAGAGACCUCAACCCAGCUCAGCAGAAGUGAAGUGGCAACGAUGAAUUGAGCUCUUUCAGAUCAAGCAUGCUUUCUCUUUUUGCACUGACCAUUUUUCUUCUCCCAGAAAGUCUUGAAACAUUUUAUCCAGUUCAAGUUUUACUAUUGGAAAUGCCCUCCUUCCCUUUCUUUGAAUCACCCUUGGAUACACAU
rnacentral:lncRNA from 1 species